UGGGGAAUAUUGCACAAUGGAGGAAACUCUGAUGCAGCGACGCCGCGUGAGUGAAGAAGGUCUUCGGAUCGUAAAACUCUGUCCUUGGUGAAGAUAAUGACGGUAGCCAAGGAGGAAGCCCCGGCUAACUACGUGCCAGCAGCCGCGGUAAUACGUAGGGGGCUAGCGUUGUCCGGAUUUACUGGGCGUAAAGGGUGAGUAGGCGGUUGCAUAAGUCAGAUGUAAAAGGCUAAGGCUUAACCAUAGUAUGCAUUUGAAACUGUGUGACUUGAGUACAGGAGAGGUAAGCGGAAUUCCUAGUGUAGCGGUGAAAUGCGUAGAUAUUAGGAGGAACACCAGUGGCGAAGGCGGCUUACUGGACUGUAACUGACGCUGAGUCACGAAAGCGUGGGUAGCAAACAGG
rnacentral:rRNA from 1 species